GAAGCUGACCAGACAGUCGCCGCUUCGUCGUCGUCCUCUUCGGGGGAGACGGGCGGAGGGGAGGAAAGUCCGGGCUCCAUAGGGCAGGGUGCCAGGUAACGCCUGGGGGGGAAACCCACGACCAGUGCAACAGAGAGCAAACCGCCGAUGGCCCGCGCAAGCGGGAUCAGGUAAGGGUGAAAGGGUGCGGUAAGAGCGCACCGCGCGGCUGGUAACAGUCCGUGGCACGGUAAACUCCACCCGGAGCAAGGCCAAAUAGGGGUUCAUAAGGUACGGCCCGUACUGAACC
rnacentral:RNase_P_RNA from 1 species